rnacentral:rRNA from 1 species
CGCGGUUUAAGCAUGCAAGUCGAGCGGCAAGGGCCUUCGGGCCCCUAGAGCGGCGGACGGGUGAGUAACACGUGGACAAUCUCGCCCCCCGGCCCGGGAUAGCCCAGGGAAACCUGGAUUAAUACCGGAUGAGACGGGACCUGCGAUGGCGGGAUCCGGGAAAGGCGCUACGGCGCCGCCGGGGGAUGAGUCUGCGUCCCAUUAGCUAGACGGCGGGGUAACGGCCCACCGUGGCGACGAUGGGUAGCCGGCCUGAGAGGGUGGACGGCCACAUUGGAACUGAGACACGGUCCAGACUCCUACGGGAGGCAGCAGCUAAGAAUCUUCCGCAAUGGGCGAAAGCCUGACGGAGGCCGACGCCGCGUGAACGAAGAAGGCCGUGAGGUUGUAAAGUUCUUUUCGGGAGGGGGAACAACCGUGGCAGGGAAUGGCCGCGGGAUGACGUGAAUCCCGGAAUAAGCCCCGGCUAACUACGUGCCAGCCGCGGC